GUUAAGAUGGUGGUGAAUUAGGGGGACCCUGGGCUUUCCUUGUCCCUCAAACACAGCUGUAUUGAGGUCAGAUUACUUGGAACACCCAGAAAAUCGAUCUGCAGAGUGGCAGGAGGAUCUCCACUGUUGGAGGGCGACAGCUUGGCAAGGGAGAGGUGUGUGGAUGUGAACUGGGGAAAAGAAAAAUGAUGGCGCUGUGGAAGGGAGGGAACCCUUUCUGUGGAGAGAAA